rnacentral:rRNA from 1 species
GACGAACGCUGGCGGCGUGCCUAAUACAUGCAAGUAGAACGCUGAAGAGAGGAGCUUACUCUUCUUGGAUUAGUUGCGGACGGGUGAGUAACGCGUAGGUAACCUGCCUUUUAGCGGGGGAUAACUAUUGGAAACGAUAGCUAAUACCGCAUAACAAUGGAUGACACAUGUCUUUUAUUUGAAAGGCGCAAUUGCUCCACUACAAGAUGGACCUGCGUUGUAUUUCUAGUAGGUGAGGUAAUGGGUCAACUAAGGGAAGGUACAUAGCCGAACCGUGAGGGUGGUCGGCCAAACUGGGACCGGGACACGGCCCAGGCUCCUGAGGGAGGCAGCAGUAGGGAAUCUUCGGGAAUGGGGGGAAAGCUGGCCGAGCAAAGCCGCGGGAGUGGAGAAGGUUUUCGGGUCGUAAAGCUCUGUUGUAAGGGGAGAACGAGUGGGAGAGUGGAAAGUUCACGUUGUGACGGUAGCUUAUCAGAAAGCGACGGCUAACUACGUG